CCUACGGGAGGCAGCAGUGGGGGAUAUUGCACAAUGGGGGAAACCCUGAUGCAGCGACGCCGCGUGGGCGAAGAAGUAUUUCGGUAUGUAAAGCCCUAUCAGCAGGGAAGAAGAAAUGACGGUACCUGAGUAAGAAGCACCGGCUAAAUACGUGCCAGCAGCCGCGGUAAUACGUAGGGUGCAAGCGUUAUCCGGAUUUACUGGGUGUAAGGGGAGCGCUGGCGGUACGGCAAGCCUGUUGUGAAAGCCCGCGGCGCAACCGCGAGACUGCAAUGGGAACUACCGGGCUGGAGUGCCGGUGAGGUAGGCGGAAUUCGUGGUGUAGCGGUGAAAUGCGUAGAUAUUAGGAGGAACAACGGUGGCGAAGGCGGCCUACUAGACGGUGACUGACACUGAGGCUCGAAAGCGUGGGGAGCAAACAGGAUUAGAUACCCGAGUAGUC
rnacentral:rRNA from 1 species